AUUAAAUAAUAAUAUGUUUGUAUUUACGUGCUUGUAUUGAAAUAAAUCAUCCAUUAUUUUUUAAUAAUUUUUAUACCAUAUUUAAAAACAAACGUCAAAUUUUGACUUGUUAAACGGCGCCAUUUUGAAUAUUGCCGCCAUUUUGAAAAUAUUAUCUAUGCACCCAGGCAUUAAUGAUACAUUGUAGGCCUUUGUCGAUAUCAAAUAAUCAGUUUCACGGAUUUGGUAACUUUCUAUCACACAAUGAUGGUGUACAUAUACGAAUACUGUCAAACUUAGACAUUUUGACGCGCCAUUUUGAAUUUGGACGCCAUUUUGAUGAUUUCUGUAUUAUAAGGUUUAAAAAAAUAAUAAUUGACAUAUCUUAAUUGUAUUUCCUUAAGUUUGUGACAUCUUCUGAACUCAUUAAAAUUGGAAGACUUCAUGAAG
rnacentral:lncRNA from 1 species